ACGUGGCCUAGGUAGUGUGUGAAGCAGCCACAAUUCAUUUAGGCUCAAUUGAAUGGAUAGUCCCAAUGGUGAAAGGAUAUGAAGGAACACAAAGUUCCAUUCAUCUCCUCCAUCUCGUAUUCACAUCAUACUCGCCAGAAGAAAAAGAAUACCAGGUUCCGAACCUUGUCGCGCCGGCUUUCGCCACCGGCGACGGCGAUGCAAAACGACAACUCUCACGCCAUCUCCGCUCCAACCUCUCCUAACAUAAACGAAAAAAACUUCCACCUAAAUAAAAUAGAAGCUACCGCGAUUCCUCGACGGAACAAAAUCGAGCGGCGAACGAAAAUGGAAUGAGCUUCAACUACAGUUCACAGUCACGCUCUUGCAACAACGAAUCACACCACUGUAGAUGAAACACCAGCACAAAGAGAUGAGGGAGCCUACCGGUGAUGGCGAUGGUGGAUCUGUCGGCGAACGUCGGAUUCGAAGCUCAGGAAUUGGUAUGGUGAUGUAUUGAAUUGAAUCGCGGUGUGCAUGUGAGAGAUGAGUUGAAAACAAGGUGAUGAAGAUGAAUGCACAAGCAAUAUGUUAUGCAGGUGGUGGUUGACUGUGAUUUAGGAAAAGGGAGGAAGAAGAAGUGAGAGUUGUGAGUUUGAUUGUGAUUUUUUCAGGAAGAAGAAUCUUCUUCACUGCCAGUUCAUGAUCUUAUAUAGAGCUCAUUGCAUUGGAUAUGAGUUUGAAGUUUGAAUCUGGGAAGGCCGCGUUUUUAAUUCAUUUCUGUUGCUACGUUUUGAGUUUUUCGUUUCCUCCAUUUUUCUCUUGUCAUUUCAUUUGUUGCAUUCUCCUUAUGCUGACGUGUACUUCCUUUUGAAAAUUUUCCAAUUGCAUUUCUCCUCUUUUGUCUUAUUUGGCAUGACUUUGGACUGAGAUAUUGUACAUUGGAAUUGUAAUUGAAUCAUGGGCCUAAGCUGUUUGAACUCAAUAAAUUGUUAACUCAUUCUGAA